UUUGCUCUUCAUUUCAACAUGUCUUUUCCUCUUACUCUUUGUGAUUUUCACUUGAUCCUUUUGAGUUUUGAUUCCAAAGUUCUUAAGAGACAGAGAUCCUAUUGGCUGGUGCAAGACCAUAGCAGUUGUGUGUGUGUGUGUGUGUGUGUGUGAGAGAGAGAGAGAGAGAGAGGGAGAGGGAGAGGGAGAGGGAGAGGGAGAGGGAGAGCGCUGAGUCACUGUCUCCCAUUUCUGGCUUCGCUUCUCACAUCCACAACCCAUGUGCUCUACUUCCAUUUUUUCCUCUCAUUCCUGUUCCAAGCACAUCUGAAGGUCAAAAGGAGCAUCUCGGAAUCCUCAAGAAACAAGAAGAAAACACACUUGGAUUUUCAAAUAUCUCGAUAUUUUAACUGUGUUUUUUAAAAAAGGAUAAACAGCUCUUUUAAUCAGAAAAAGUUCAGGCAUUAUAGUAUAAAUGAAAGAAUCUCAGUCAAAAAAGCUCAACAUUUGACUAUCUGGACAGCAAUAGAGCAUGCACUCAAAGUGAAAAGAAAAUGACAUGAUGCUUAAACAAUGUUUUAAAGUCCCCCCUGCCACCCAUUUUAGGGGGAGGGGGCAUGGGGAGGAGCUUGGAUGAUGAAAGUAAGAGCAUCCCAAGGGUGGAUGAAGACAUUAAAAGGCCCUCCAGACUAAGACUCCACCAUGAGCACCUUUCACCUUGCACUUCCCCGACCCUGCUUCCCUUGUCCAGGACUACCAACAGGAUGCUGGACCAGGCUGAGCUGGACAGCCAUAGCCAGGUAGCCAGUUGGAUCCCUCUCCAGUGAUAACAAAGGUCUGGAGUCUCAGAGGGCUUUUCCUAGGACAAGACGUACCUCCAGAUCAAGAAAUUAUUUCAGCUGUGGCAUGAUCAACAAGUUCUGGAGCGGAAGGAAACCUUUCUAAACCACAAAUAACAAAAAACAUCUAUCUAUUAUGUCAGAAGACAAAGUUGUCUUUCUAUUCUCUGUACAUAAAAUGGCAUUGUAAAAUUUUUACCAUGUGAAAAAAGAUCAAUGAGUAUAACGCCAAAAAUAUAGGGAAAAGAUGUAUUACAUAGAUGGGUCAGCACUUAAGUUGUAAUUGUAGCAAAAAUUGUUAAUUAAAAC
rnacentral:lncRNA from 1 species